rnacentral:rRNA from 1 species
UACGAAGGGUGCAAGCGUUACUCGGAUUACUGGGCGUAAAGCGUGCGUAGGUGGUGAGUUAAGUCUGUCGUGAAAGCCCCGGGCUCAACCUGGGAAUGGCGAUGGAUACUGGCUCGCUAGAGUGCGGUAGAGGAGAGUGGAAUUCCCGGUGUAGCAGUGAAAUGCGUAGAGAUCGGGAGGAACACAGUUGCGAAGGCGGCU